GGAGAAGGUGUUAGGCACUCCCCAAGUCUCGUACAAGUCACGGUUGCGUACUCAAAUUAAGCUGGAUUUAAAAUAUUCUAUUGAGGUAAAAACAAUAUAGAAAAGCAAAAUAAGUAAACGCACAAGAGGUUCGAAACUGUCCCUACCUAAUAAGAGAAAAAGAAAAAGAAAAGAAAACUCCUAAGCUAACCUAUACUACAACUUCUCCACUGUGCUCGUCAAAGCCUCCAAAAUAUUUACAUGGUUCUUCAAGGCAUACCCCGGAUAUAAUAUUUACAAAAUUCACGGGGCAUUCCCCGAAUAAAUUUAACUAAGGGACAACCUUUCACCUCAAAAUCAACAAAAUCCUAAAACUUGCCUACCCAAAUGUGGUCAGCCUAAGCAUGCUCCUAGCGAUCAAUAUGAAAAUAAGGAGAAUUAAAUAAAAGGGAACUUCAAUUCAUGGUCGUUUCCAUUUUUAAUAGUGAACUCCCAAGUCCCCUUAUCAUUCUAUCCAAAUAAACAUAUGCACAGUGGCAAACACUAACCAAUUAGGCUAAAUCACAAGACCGAAUUGUGAACAUGGAAACACAUGUAAAAACGGAAUAUAAACACCUUAGAGGGAACUAUCCAGAAGGUGUGGGCUAAUGGACUAACUAGUAAAUAAAUGACAAAUAAAGAUAAAACAAAUGAAUGCCACGAUCAGGACUGGAAAAUACGAAAAACACCUUGCAAUAUCAUUUCAUCUUUCUCAAGCUGCUCCUCUCAACCCAAACAGGCACAGGUAUAGACCUCUUUUGUGGUUUAAAUUCAAAAGAAACAAGUCAAUCACCCUCUCAGUGUCUAUCCCUCAUAUGCUUAACGUGGAAGACACAUGAGAAAUCGACAAUGACACUAUUCACAUUUCAUGUAAGUAAGACAUUAGAUAGGAAACUCAAGGCAAACAAGGACACCUACCGGAAUGGCACGAGAACAGAAUGAAAUCAUCAAGAAACAAAGCCCGUUCACGUUGAGGCGCGACAAAUGAGUUGAAUAUGCAAACAUAAACCACUCCAAACCUAUGAGUAGCUAAACUUAAUUAGCCAGAAGAAAUCGAUUGCAAGCUAAUCUUAAUGAAACUAAGGCCUAGCAACUACAAGGACUAGCAUGUUGAAGACAAAAUCAACUCGACUUCAAUUGCAAAUCAGUAAUUAUACUUCACCAAACUUCCAUUUUAUCCUUGAACUUAAACAAGAAUUGUUAACUGGUUUUGGAUUUUCUGAUAGGAUUAAAUCAAGAAAAGAAGGUCACUAUAUGUGAUUAUCAGUCAGUCGUGGAGGAGAAACAUGGAAGGGAAUUAUGCAGAUUCAAAUCAAAUUAUAAAAUUGGAGAGAUCAAGAAAGAGAGGUGAAUCAAGCAUCACGAACUACUGGGAUUAACUCUAUUCAAAUUAAUAAGGGUUUGUAAUAGUUUUGUGAAAAUAUAAGUCAAACUAACCAAGCCAUUAGUAGAAUAAACACAUCAGAUCAAUGAACAAUUCCAAAAGCUCAUUUCAUAUUUAAACCUGACAAAAUAAGAAGGCAUGGAAGUGAUUCCACUUGAGCCUAAGAGGCAUACAGAUUCAUCAAGUUAUCACUAAGCGAUCAAGGCACUUUGGCAUGAAACUUUGCAUUCAUCAAAGAAGUCAGUCGAAAGAACUCUAACAGUAACACAACAUAUCUCGCCAAACUCAAACUAUCACUCAACCGGAUCAAACUUCAAUCAACCACACUAGAACUAGGCAGAAUCGAAGUUGCGAGACAUUUAAAUACCAAAAACCAAACAGAACACGUGAUGGUGUAACUUAAUCCAGACUUAAUACUAUCCGAAAGUCACAAAAUUGUCUCUGCUAAUGCCCAGAUGCGAUUAUUUAUCUUCUAAAACAUGUCAAGCAAAUUCAAACUACUAAGUCCACUUUAUAAUAUUUCGAAUCAUCAUCAAGAGAGUAAGAAAACAAAGACGAAAUUGGAAGUUAAGCUUUCAUUUAAUUCUGUAGAGAUCGAUUACAAGAGAAGAAGAUUUGGUGACGAACUUGACAACGAAAAUAGCUACUGAAAAUCCAGAGUCAACAACGAAGCAGCAGAGCAGAAACCAACACAGGGAACGUGGACACGAACCGAAAAAUUCGAACGGCGAGCUCGACCUCGGAUCAAUCAAUCUCCAAGUUGAAACUAAAACCAAAAGAAGCAACUAAAAUAUUUUUGGGAAUUUUCUGAGCUUUUAUUUUGAAAAUGAAACCAAGACUUGAACAAAGGGUAAAUCAAACUUUCUUUUCUUUCUUUUCGUAUUUUCACUUUUCUGGAAUGCUCAUUACAAAGGAAACCGAGGAAUCUAAGAAGAAGGCCAAGGAAAACCAAGAGCCCCAGCUUUUUCCGAAAUUUUCCUCCUCCUCCUUCUCCUCCUUUUUUUCCAAAAAAAAACCCGUCCCCCCUAUGUAUAUGAACAUAUAUAUAUAUAUAUAUAUAUAUAUAUGUAUGUACGUGUGUGUAUGUGUGUAUGUGUAUGUUGUGUGUGUGUAUAUAUGUAUAUAUGUGUGUGUGCACAAAGUUGUGGACCCCCAAAAAUCAAAAAUCCGACGAUCCAUUUGACAUAUAAAAAUCGGAAAAAUGGAGUUUUUUGGACAAAGAUUUCAUCCAACGAUUCCCAUUCUUCCCAAAUUUACUCAAGGGUUCGGAUUUUGUGUUUAAACAAAAGAAAUAGAAGAAAACAAUCCGCGCGAAUCAGAUUGAAAUGAUGAGAUUUGGUUCGAUUUGAAUGACAUGGAAGAAGGAGAAGACGAGAAGGGGGGACCAAUGGGUGAACUCGCCUCCGUGCGAAUCGUAUUAAAAUGAUGAGAUUUGGUACGAUUUGAAUGACGUCAAAGAAGGAGAAGACGAGAAGGGGGGACCAUGGGGGGACCAAUGAGUGAACUCGUCGGGUUUGGGGCGAGUUUGGAGGCGGGCAGAGAUGGGAAUGGGGUGGGGG
rnacentral:lncRNA from 1 species